CCAACCACACCCACGGAGGGGGGAAAAACAAGAAUAUGCACUAGUCAUAACAAGGAUAAUGCUAAGGUUUAUUUGCAAUAAAGCUAGGUUUUUAACACAUGCAAGGGUUCACUUUCAAAAAGGGUUUUCACGAAGCAUUUAUUUAGUAACCGAGUAAUUGAGUGGGGGUUAAUCCUACAUGAAGGAUCCAAAUUUUAAUGCUACCGGACUCCCCAUCCGCGGUAGCUCACGGCACAACUGCCGGAC
rnacentral:lncRNA from 1 species